UCCCUGGAAGUCCAGUGGUUAGGACUUGACACUUUCACUGCCAAGUCCUGGGUUCAAUCCCUAUUAGGGGA
rnacentral:tRNA from 1 species